rnacentral:rRNA from 1 species
UACAGAGGUGGCAAGCGUUGUUCGGAAUUACUGGGCGUAAAGGGCGCGUAGGCGGCCUACUAAGUCAGACGUGAAAUCCCCCGGCUUAACCUGGGAACUGCGAUCCUGAUACUGGAAGGCUUGAGGAUGGGAGAGGAUGUAGAAUUCAGGUGUAGCGGUGAAAUGCGUAGAUAUCAGGAGGAACACCGGUGGCGAAGGCGGCUUUCUGGACAGACACCGACUGAGGCACGAAAGCUAGGGGAGCAAACAGG